rnacentral:lncRNA from 1 species
UGUUAACCAAAACACUUCGACUGAAAUAGGUUGAAGUUGCGCCUUUUUGUAAACAGUAAUUUGGCAAACAAAUCAUAUCAUUAACUGUAACAGUUUCUUUUGAAUAACGAUAACAAGCAAAAUUCAAAAUUUAUAACAUGACCUUGACCUUCGACCUUGAUCCCAAUUUCAAGGUCAUAGGUCAGUGAACUCAAAACGGAAGACCGGAGGUCAAUCACUUGUAUGCUUGUGGAGAAAUACUGAUUUGAAAUACAUAAGCACGCACCGAUAGUCUCAAAAGAAAUAACACUUCGACCAAAUACCGAGUGGCACACUGAAGAACUCCGCGACGCUAAAAGGAAUUGUCGUAAAACUGAACGCCGCAUGCGGAAAACAAAUUUGACCGUUCAUCAGCAGAUACAUCGGGAUGCUUGUGUACAUGCGAACAAACUCCUUAUCCGAUGUAAAAAAGAACACUAUUCGACCCAAGUUGAAGAAGCUGAACACGAUCAGAAACAACUCUUUCGCCUUAGUAAACGCAUAAUGGGAGAAAAGCAAGAAACAAUUCUACCAUCGCAUAAAGAUGAAAAAGACCUUGCUAACAAGUUCUGUCACUUUUUCAUGAACAAGAUUGAAACUAUUCGGGCAAAUUUAAGUGCAUCUAAUAAAAGCUCCAUCACUAUGUGCGAGAUUAUGAAAUCAGACGAAAAGUUUAACGGUGAACGUUUAUCAUCAUUCAAACCAACAACAAUUACGGAACUCACGAAGAUCAUACAAUCUGCACCAUCAAAACACUGUGAACUAGAUCCAAUGCCUACCUAUUUACUAAAAUCUUGUUCAAAUGAACUUCUUCCGGCAGUGCAAAACAUUGUCAAUUGCUCGUUUUCAGAAUCACUGGUGCCAUCUUCAUUUAAGCAAGCUAUCGUUCGACCAUUGCUGAAGAAACCGAGUCUAGAUCGUGAAGUGUUAAAAAACUACCGUCCAGUGUCAAACCUUCCGUUUUUGUCGAAGGUCUCGGAAAAAGUUGUUUCCUCUCGGCUUGAUCACCACAUAGAAUCGAAUAAUCUGCACGAAAAUUUGCAAUCUGCAUACCGAGCUCGUCAUUCUACAGAAACAGCUCUUCUACGUGUUCACCACGAUAUAGUUUCUGCACUGGACAAAAACAGUUGUGAUGCUCGAUCUUUCGGCCGCAUUUGAUGUUAUUGACCACAAAAUUUUACUAGAACGUCUGAACUAUUCUUUCGGAGUCUCUGAUAGCGCCUUAUCGUGGAUCGAGUCUUACUUGAAAGAUAGAACUCAGCGAGUUGCCAUUGGCACCAAACAAUCUGACGAUCUACGUCUUCAAUAUGGUGUGCCUCAAGGCUCUGUUCUAGGACCAAAGUUAUACUGCAUGUACUCGAAACCUGUUGGUGAAAUAUGCAGGCGACAUAAAAUGCUUUACCACUCGUAUGCCGACGACACUCAGACAUAUCAAGUGAUUAAACCGGAAGGUGAUUGGGACGAUCUAUCCGACCGUUUGAAAGCGUGUUUGUCAGAGAUAAGCGAUUGGAUGACAUCAAAUAUGCUGAAACUAAAUCAGGACAAAACAGAGCUCAUCGUCUUUGCUCCGAAACAUCGAGUCAAACAGUUAUCCAAGUAUGAGCUACCCUUCGAUGGCGCUAUUUUAAGUGAUGCGAACUGCGUUAGGAAUCUAGGAGUGUUCUUUGAUAAGACCUUGAGUAUGGAACAGCAGGUAACAGCCGUCUCAAAAUCAUGUUACCACCAGAUUCGAACCAUCGGAAACAUUAGAUCGUAUAUCACCGAAAAUGCGUGUAAGACACUAGUCUGCUCUCUUGUCACCUCCAGAUUAGACUAUGGGAACGCUUUGCUAUAUAAUGU